rnacentral:rRNA from 1 species
GUCCACGCCCUAAACGAUGUCAACUGGUUGUUGGGUCUUCACUGACUCAGUAACGAAGCUAACGCGUGAAGUUGACCGCCUGGGGAGUACGGCCGCAAGGUUGAAACUCAAAAGGAAUUGACGGGGACCCGCACAAGCGGUGGAUCAUGUUGUUUAAUUCGAAGAUACCCGAAAAACCUUACCAGGUCUUGACAUACUCUGCAAAAGCUAAUAGAGAUAUAGUGGAGGUUAACAGAGAUACAGGUGGUGCAUGGUUGUCGU